rnacentral:rRNA from 1 species
GACGAACGCUGGCGGCGUGCUUAACACAUGCAAGUCGAGCGGUAAGGCCCUUUCGGGGGUACGACGAGCGGCGAACGGGUGAGUAACACGUGGGUGACCUGCCCUCCAGCUCUGGGAUAAGCCUGGGAAACGUGGGUCUAAUACCGGAUAUGACUCCAUGACGCAUGUUGUGGGGUGGAAAGCCUUGUGCGGCUGAGGAUGGGCCCGCGGCCUAUCAGCUU